rnacentral:lncRNA from 1 species
GGAGCUACAAUUGACUUUAACGAAAUUUCAAUCUAAGCUUCUCGCGUAUGAAAUUAUGGAUUAUAAUAAUUUCAUUAUCAAUAUCAACUAAUAAACCAAUACAUACUACUAUAAACAUAUUAUUCUAUAUCCUCAUCAGCUUCCUCAACACCACCUUUCCCUCUAACAUUCUGAAUUAAGUCAUAUUCAGCUUCUUACAUUAUGUCAAUAUAGCAACCUGAUUUUUGCAACUUGAAAACGUCAUCAAUAUUAUCAAGAACGUUUCCAUCUUCCUCCUCCAUCUGUUUAGCAAUAUCCAAAUUAAAGACGUUAUCAUAUAAUUCCUCUAAACAAAUAGCCAUAGCAAAAACCGUGGAAUAAGUCAAGUUGUGUGCAAGAAAACUGUUGAGGCAAUGGGAUGGAAUUUUACAAGGACUCGCAAUACCCUAAUAUAUAGUGCUACAAACCAAGGUACUGUGUUCCAUGUUAGCUAUAAAAAAGGGAAAACGACAUAAAUCCCGAUAGUUUGGAGCUUAAUUAUCAAAGAUUUUGAUAUUUUGCAUGAUUACUAAAAAUCUCAAUUUCGGGUCUGUCGAGACACAUAAGUAGCUACCGAUACAUCCAAAGAAAUACAUAAUUAGUUGGGAUUCUUGUAAUUGCUUUAUAAGGAUGAGAAUUUGUAUAAAUAUGGUAAGUUGAGGUGUAUGCUUAUGUUAUUUUUUCAAGAAAAAAAAAUUCAAAUAAAAAAUUGAAUCAAACCAGUUUUUAUUUCAUAUUGUUGAUACACGCACACGCGCACACAUAUAUAUAGAUUAUUUUUAUAAAUAGCCGUAAGUUCUUUGUAUACUUUUUGUUUUUUAACAGCAUACGGGCAUAAUAUCCUAAUUUUUUUGCACUUAAUGGAGAUCUGGACCUUGUAGGCUAUUAAAAUACAUUUGUUUAUAUUGAGGUUCAAACACUUAAUAGAUCUGAACAUGUAGUAAUCAUUAAGAUCUUAAACAAAAUCUUAAUAUUAUUUAGUGUGUUAAAAAUAAUUUUGGAUUCGCUCCCUGAUGGAGUACUGGCAAAAUGUUGUGAGGCUCAUAUGUGGGGCUUAGUUCUGUGAAUCUUACGCCCUAUUUAAACGGAGGGAGUAAUCUGAAGCAAAACUAGUGCUCGGUUACAGGUUUAGCCUAGCUAAGUAGCUUUCUUUCAAAUAUGUUUUUAUAUUAAAAUAUUUAUUGAAUAUGUUCAAAUUAUUAAGAGACCUUGCAAUUUUAAAGGACUAUAACCUCGAAUCCAUAAGCUUUUAAGUCCUGACUUCUUCCCUAGGAGUAACGAGAUAGGUAAUUUUUGUUUUGAUAGAAGAGUGAUUAAAUGGUCUGUAUAAUAGUGACAAUAUUGCAAAGAACAGAAUUAAAAUAUGCUACUAGACUUGUUUUUGUUAGGGAGGGCUUUACCUCUGAAUAAUGUGAAAUUUUUUGGCGCGAAUUCGGAAUUAAUCAUACUUCAAUAUGAAUAUCAAACAACGUGUAAAAUGAAUUUAAAAUCAAAAUAAGCCACGAAAUAAAAAAAAUGACCAAAAUAGGUCACCUAUUUAAUAAAUUACCAAAAUAGGCUAAAUGUAAUAAAUUAUUAUGUUUAAUAUAUUUUUCUUAACGGUCAACUGACGGAAAUGAAUAGCAAACACUGUUUGUAAAACGUAAUAAUUUAUUACGUUUUCCACAAAAAAAUAAAGAAAAAGAGCAGUGUGUUGUCAAAACCAUCUUUAUGUCAAAUCAUGUAGUUUGUAAUAAUUUAUUACGUUUUACAGACAGUAAUUGUAAAACAUACUCCCUCCAUUUUAUUUUAGUUGGCCUUAUUGACUUGGCACACCCCUUAAGAAAUUAUUUAAUAGAAACUUAUUUUACUAACAUAACUCUAUUAAUUAUGCAUUGAAAAUAUGAAUUUGAGUAAAUAUACUUUGUUUAAUCAUUUAAUGUUGAGAGUAAUAUUGGAAAAAUAUAAUAAAAUCCUCUUGAUUUCAUCAAAGAGACAAAUAAAUUGAAUUAAAUAUUUUUAGAAAGAGGGCCAACUAAAACGAAAUGGAGAGAGUAAUAAUUUAUUAAGUUUUAUAAAUAAUGUUUGUACUUUGUAAUAAAUUAUUACAAACUACGUCUGCCCAUGUCCCAUCAACUUUACUUUUCCACUUUCAAAUGUAACCCCACUCACCCCACGCAGCUAACUGUUCCACCCUACCCCAGCCCCUUACCUUAUUUUAAAUGUAUCUUUUUACUACGUUUUUGUAAAAUAAAAUUUUUAAUUACACUUUCUUUAUUUUUUUAUUUAGAAAAAGUAACUUUUUAUACUAUUUAAAAUAACGUAAGGGGUUGGGGUGAGGUGGGAUGAUUAGCUGCAUGGGUGGGGUGGGUUACAUUUAAAAGAGAGAAAAUAAAGUUGAUGGGACAUGGGUAGGUGUAGUUUGUAAUAAUUUAUUACAAAGUACAAACACUAUUUGUAAAACGUAAUAAAUUAUUACAAACUACAUGAUUUGAAAUAAAGAUGGAUGUGACAACCCACUACUUUUUUUUUGUUUUUUGUGGAAAACAUAAUAAAUUAUUACGUAAUAAUUUAUUACGUUUUACAAACUUUACUAUUCAUUUUCGUCAGUUUACAGUUAAGAAAAAUAUAUAAAACUUAAUAAUUUAUUAAGUUUAAUCUAUUUUGGUAACUUAUUAAAUAGGUGAUCUAUUUCGGUCACUUUUUUAUGUCGUGGCUUAUUUUGAUUCCAAGUUCGUAUAAAAUCAAAACACUGAUGAAAUGUGGGAGUCCACCAAGUACAAGGGGACAAGGUCCCUCAGCAGACAAACACAACAAUAAUAGUUAAAAAAUAAAGACAAUGCACUCAAUAUUUACAUGGAAACAUUCUUGCUCAAAGUGAGUAAACACUUUGUUAAGGAAGUAUCCAUAGGACACUCCAUGUUUCCCAUCUUUGACAUGCAUAACCUUAUGCAUGUGCUCAAUCAUAGUGUAGGAAUAAUGAUCGACUCAAAAUUACUAUGGGAUUCCAUGAGAAACAAGUCUACUGCAGAUGCCACUGUGUGCUUAUCUGGCUUAGGAAGUAGGACCUUGUUCACAAACUCAAAUAGCAACUGGGAACUCCCCCUUCAGGAACUUCUUUCUUACUCCAUCUUUGGAUUUUCCUCCAAUUUUUGAAGCUAACUGCACAAACUCAAAUAGGGGAUCCCAUUAAUUGGGACCUCAAGAAUUUCACCAAGGGUCACCUCAUCUACGAAAAUCUUUAUACCUUGAACCAUAGCAGUCAGACUCAAUUGAUCCUCAGCAACCUUGAUAGUGUAGAAGAAAUAUUUGACCUCCUUUUCAUAAACAGUUGGUACUGGCGUCUCAAAAAAAUGAAUCUAAUCCUGAAGCUUAAUGAACUCUACUAACUCAUAUGGAUUUGAGGAUUUGAUUUUUCUCCUCUCUAGUGAGAAAUUUAACAGGCUUCUGCACUUUUCUUCAUUUGGAUAAGAUACCUAGUCCCUCAGUUGACUGACCCACUCCCUCAUAAAUGAGUGAGUCAGAUUUACGACUAGGUCCCUUGGCCACCUCAUCCCUUUUUCUCAUAACUGAAAUAUGAUUCUUUCCCCCAUCACAUUUUGUUUUUGGUGCGACAAACUUCGCAGGAUUUAAACUUCCAGCUUCUUUUCUUUUCUUACUUGUGGCGAUAGCCACAUCAGAAUCAAAAUCAUCCUUCUUAUCUUUAUCCCCCAUCUCUACAACCUCUUUGGUGGAAGGAUCUGCCUUCUUCUUCUCCGAAUUUUUCCUAGAGUUUCUCUUUCUAGCGGUAUCUCUCUUAUUAGCCUUCAAGGCAUCACUCAUAAGCAUUUUUUCUACCCCUAUCGAACUAUAAAAUUUCAUCACCAGCUUCUCAAAGACUUGCUUCUUUUCCUUAUAUUCCCAUUAUUCUACCUAACUCAAAGAAAGAUUACCUAAUUAGUUGCCCUUCUCAUCAUCUUCCACGUGAAGAUGAAGUAUUUUUUAGACAAAUUAGUGGAGAUUAGGGUCCCAUCAUACCUAGGACUUAGGGAAUUUGGUGGAGAUUUUGUAUAAAGGGAUUGAAAUUCCCUUGAGUCACAAGCCAGUCUAGUUAACUGUUUGCCAGCCAUUGUCCCUAGACUCCAGACUACUUAGAGGAAACCAUCACUCUUCAGUAAGAUCACCAUUAAAUAAAUGCUCCUCAACAGGAAAAGAUUUUGGAAUAGAGUGUGUACCUGAUUUUGUAGGGACUUCAGUUGAGGCUUCAGUCACAGUUAGCUCACUAGCAUUUUCAGGGUUGAGUGUGAUAGAUGAUGAGGAAACUAGCUCGGUGGUUGGAGAUGAAUGUUCGGCAUUGAUGAAGUCAAUUGCUGAUGGUGAAAUGGGUGAAGACGGUAUUUUACAUCAAAUGGGAGAUCCAAAAGGGGUAUCUAUGUCUGGUAGGGUGGAAGAAGUUUUCUCGGAGAGAGGAUUUUCAAAAGUUGGAGUAUGGUUUGCUGGUGGAGACUCGAUGGAGAGGGUGUUGUCUUCAGAGGGUGUUUGGUUCGGAGACAAAGAAUGAGACAAUUUUUUUGUUCUUUGAGAGAGAGAGAGAGAUUUGGAGAAGAUGAACAACAAUGAGGGAGUUAAGAGAGGAAAAAAAUGUUAAAGAAAUUUUUAAGAGAUGAAAAUAAUAACGAUGAUGAGUUUAGAGGGUGCAUUUAUGAAAAAGAGAAUGGGGUGACAUUUAGGAGUAAAA